UGAUGAGAAAACCUUUCGAAAAAACAGUUAUCCCUGUCUGAAUGGGCAUAAUAUCUGGUUGCACAUGUGUCGAGA